UACGUAGGUGGCAAGCGUUGUCCGGAAUUAUUGGGCGUAAAGCGCGCGCAGGCGGUUCUUUAAGUUUGAUGUGAAAGCCCACGGCUCAACCGUGGAGGGUCAUUGGAAACUGGAGAACUUGAGUACAGAAGAGGAAAGCGGAAUUCCACGUGUAGCGGUGAAAUGCGUAGAGAUGUGGAGGAACACCAGUGGCGAAGGCGGCUUGCUGGUCUGUAACUGACGCUGAGGCGCGAAAGCGUGGGGAGCGAACAGG
rnacentral:rRNA from 1 species